GUGGCAGCCUGUGGACAUGUGGGAGAAAUAGUUGUGAGAGCGUCCACAAUCCUUAACUUGUUGAUAUGUAAUUUUUUAGUUUGCUUACCUAAAUGAUCACAAUUUUGAUUAUCAUGGAUAUAAUAUACUCCAUCCAAGUCAAUUUAUAUUUCACAACAUAUAAUGAUGGUGUUUUCACCUACCGCGGUGGGUAGCUCUUUUUGAACUGCUAUGUGUUCACUUCACUGUUGUCCUUGCCCAUGUUGUGUUCAGUGGCUACUACUGGAGCUACUGCGCUUUCCUCUUUUGUCUAGGGAGUUCAAAGCCUGAAGCAACUUUACACACGAGUGACCUCACGCAGGAUGGGAAUGCCAAAAUGGUGAAAGAAUCUUUGGGUAUACUUUAGGAAGAGGGAUAACUCUAAAUGAGCUGCUGAAGAAGAAAGUUUAGGAGAAAGUCCAAGCAAUUGCUUCUGAAGUUCCCAUCUAUGAGGCAGUGAUGACCAAAUGCUGUGUUGGUGGCAACCUCUUUUCUCUGGCAUUCUGCAAGGGAUAUGCUUCAGCUUAUCUUCGAAGAAGACAUCAAACUCUCACGCUUCAGUUGGAGACAAGGAGUGGGACACUACAUUACACGUCAGGCCAAACAGUAAAGCCAUUCAUGGAGGCUGGUCGGAGUUUGCCAUCAAUAGUGACCUUCACCUGGGAGAUAUUUGCUUCUUUGCAAAGAGGGGCACCAGAAGUCUUGUGAUGAGGAUCCAUUUCGUUAGCAAGUCAGGCAUACUGUUGUAGCUCAAGCUUCCUAGUUCGUGUUGCUGUUCCGAGUACUGGAAUUAUCUAUGGUCCGUAUGGCCUAAACUCGCUGAUAUGCUGCCAUUUAUGUACAUUUUGUUUAGGUUUUUUACUGUUUGUUAUGAAACCUUGUAGUAUCCAAACUGAGGAAAGUUGAAUUCUGCUCUGCCUCCAAUAUCGUUUACGAUAACUGAUUAUGAUGUCUACAGGUGAUCAAA